rnacentral:rRNA from 1 species
CCAGAGUAUCAAUUGGAGGGCAAGUCUGGUGCCAGCAGCCGCGGUAAUUCCAGCUCCAAUAGCGUAUAUUAAACUUGUUGCAGUUAAAAAGCUCGUAGUUGAAUUUCUGCUGCAUCGUGGUUCUUCGCUAUGUCGAGUGGUCUUCGUUGUGGCUUAGUUGGGGCAUGUUUUCAUGACUCGACGUUUACUUUGAGAAAAUUAGAGUGCU